AGAGUUUGAUCUGGCUCAGAAUCAACGCUGGCGGCGUGCCUCAGACAUGCAAGUCGAACGAUUAAAGCUCCUUCGGGGGUAUAUAAAGUGGCGCACGGGUGAGUAACACKUGGGUGGGGGGGGGGGGRGDGGGGAAUAACUUASGGAAACUUAAGCUAAUACCSCAUAAUGCAGCGGCAUCUUCGGAUGACAGUUGUUAAAGGAGCAAUUCGCUUAAAGAGGAGCCUGCGGCAGAUUAGCUAGUUGGUAAGGUAAUGGCUUACCAAGGCGACGAUCUGUAACCGACCUGAGAGGGUGGUCGGUCACACUGACACUGAAUAACGGGUCAGACUCCUACGGGAGGCAGCAGUCGGGAAUUUUGGGCAAUGGGCGAAAGCCUGACCCAGCAACGCCGCGUGAAGGAUGAAGUCUUUCGGAUGUAAACUUCGUAAGAAUAGGAAGAAUAAAUGACGGUACUAUUUGUAAGGUCCGGCUAACUACGUGCCAGCAGCCGCGGUAAUACGUAGGGACCAAGCGUUGUUCGGAUUUACUGGGCGUAAAGGGCGCGUAGGCGGUUUGUCAAGUCAGUUGUGAAAUCUCCGAGCUUAACUCGGAACGGUCAACUGAUACUGUCAMMCYCCCCCCCCCCCCCSCCMAUCGGAAUUCUUGGUGUAGCGGUGAAAUGCGUAGAUAUCAAGAGGAACACCUGAGGUGAAGACGGGUUGCUGGGCUGAUACUGACGCUGAGGCGCGAAAGCUAGGUAGCAAACGGAUUAGAUACCCUGUA
rnacentral:rRNA from 1 species